rnacentral:rRNA from 1 species
AUUGAACGCUGGCAGCAUGCCUUACACAUGCAAGUCGAACGGUAACAGGUCUUCGGAUGCUGACGAGUGGCGAACGGGUGAGUAAUACGUCGGAACGUGCCCGAUCGUGGGGGAUAACGAAGCGAAAGCUUUGCUAAUACCGCAUAAGAUCUACGGAUGAAAGCAGGGGACCGCAAGGCCUUGCGCGAACGGAGCGGCCGAUGGCAGAUUCGGUAGUUGGUGUGAUAAAAGCUUACCAAGCCGCAGAACUGUAGCUGAUCUGCGAGGAAGACCAGCCAAACUGGGACUGAGACACGGCCCAGACUCCUACGGGAGGCAGCGGUGGGGAAUUUUGGACAAUGGGCGAAAGCCUGAUCCAGCCAUGCCGCGUGCAGGAUGAAGGCCUUCGGGUUGUAAACUGCUUUUGUACGGAACGAAAAGACUCUUUCUAAUAAAGAGGGUCCAUGACGGUACCGUAAGAAUAAGCACCGGCUAACUACGUGCCAGCAGCCGCGGUAA